rnacentral:tRNA from 1 species
UAAAAAUUAGUUAAAUUAAAAUAACGUAAACUUGUCAAGUUUAAAUCAUCUUUAAAAGAUAUUUUUAA